rnacentral:rRNA from 1 species
AGUGAACGCUGGCGGUAGGCCUAACACAUGCAAGUCGAACGGCAGCACAGGAGAGCUUGCUCUCUGGGUGGCGAGUGGCGGACGGGUGAGGAAUACAUCGGAAUCUACUUUUUCGUGGGGGAUAACGUAGGGACACUUACGCUAAUACCGCAUACGACCUACGGGUGAAAGCAGGGGAUCUUCGGACCUUGCGGGAUUGAAUGAGCCGAUGUCGGAUUAGCUAGUUGGCGGGGUAAAGGCCCACCAAGGCGACGAUCCGUAGCUGGUCUGAGAGGAUGAUCAGCCACACUGGAACUGAGACACGGUCCAGACUCCUACGGGAGGCAGCAGUGGGGAAUAUUGGACAAUGGGCGCAAGCCUGAUCCAGCCAUACCGCGUGGGUGAAGAAGGCCUUCGGGUUGUAAAGCCCUUUUGUUGGGAAAGAAAUCCAGCUGGUUAAUACCCGGUUGGGAUGACGGUACCCAAAGAAUAAGCACCGGCUAACUUCGUGCCAGCAGCCGCCGUAA